UACCCGCAGCACAAGUGGUGGUCAUUAUUAUUGGGCCUAAAGCGUCCGUAGCUGGUUUGUUAAAUGCCUGGGUAAAUCGAUGCGCUCAACGUAUCGAACUCCGGGUAGACUGGCAAACUCGAGACCGGGAGAGGCGUGAGCUACUCGAGGGGUAGGGGUAAAAUCCUGUAAUCCUUCGGGGAGGACCAGUGGCGAAGGCGUCACGCUAGAACGGCUCUGACAGUGAGGGACGAAGCCCUGGGGCGCAAACCGGG
rnacentral:rRNA from 1 species